GCAGUGGCCGAAUGGCAAUGCAGCAGGCUACGGAUUUUUGGUCGGCGGUUCGAGCCCCC
rnacentral:tRNA from 16 species